rnacentral:rRNA from 1 species
UACGUAGGGGGCAAGCGUUGUCCGGAAUCAUUGGGCGUAAAGCGCGUGUAGGCGGCUCGGUAAGUCUGCUGUGAAAGUCCAGGGCUCAACCCUGGGAUGCCGGUGGAUACUGUCGAGCUCGAGUCCGGAAGAGGCGAGUGGAACUCCUGGUGUAGCGGUGAAAUGCGCAGAUAUCGGGAGGAACACCAAUGGCGAAGGCAGCUCGCUGGGACGGUACUGACGCUGAGACGCGAAAGCGUGGGGAGCAAACAGG